GUGUGUGUGUGUGUGUGUGAGUGGGGGUGUUUUGUGUGGGUGAAUGUUUGUGGUACCUGAGGCAGUAACAUGCUACCAAAGCCACGAUGAGCACUAGCAGUGAGAGUACGAGCAGUGUGGGCAGGAUAUGAGAGCUGGUGGACGGUUGGUUGUCUAAAGGAAGAAGGAGAGGCAGUCAGAAGUAUUACAAACAAAGGAACAGGAAGCUGAGCCCCCACUGAGCUGCACAAGCUGGAAUGGAAGUUCUGGUUGGGAGUCACAGGGAAUCCAGAGCCUGGAUUCAGUGGUAAGACUACACCCAGGAUGAGACGGGGUAAGACUACACCCAGGAUGAGACGGGGUAAGACUACACCCAGGAUGAGACACUAAUUCGUAACCGCCGCAUUGCCACGGUGCCACGCCAGCUUUAAAAAGGAACAUUUCCUGUUUAAUUACUUCACAGAGAUCCUGAAGCUUCACUCUAGUCCCUCUGGACCUGCAUUCUGAAGUCAUGAAGUGCCUGUGUGGCUUUUUGCCAGAGCGCCACAGGGGAUUGUGGACAUAACUAGGCCACGUUAGUAAUUCACUAUUACCCAAGUAAGAGUUUAGACAAUGGAGCUGCAGACGAUUCUGUAGAAAUGAUUUAUUAUAAAACUAUGCUGCCAUUUUUGUUCUGUACCUUCAGUAUAUUCCCUGUUCUGAUGUUUAAUCAGCACUGUUUCCACAUUUCCCUCCUUUAAGAUAUGAAUGAGGUUCUUCGCAUCAGCCAUGUCCCCCUCUGACUGUGUGGGUCAGUUCAGAAAGACAUUGUUGUAAAUAGGUCAUGGGAUAAGCUUGUGCGUGGGCUUCUCUUUAUGGGAAAGACGCUCACACAUCGCCUUGGGUAAGGCACUGGGGAACGCACUUUUGGCCAUUGUGUCCCUGACUGCACUUAUUCAUCUGACGCACAGUGGGAGAGUGUGUGUGUGUGAGAGAGAGAGAGAGAGAGAGAGAGAGAGAGAAUAUAUAUCUGUACACUGCCUUUCCAAAGUAUGUAAUAAUGCAACAUAUCAAGGUGUAGCUAAUAUUUAUUAACCCCCUCUGCUGCCUGUGAUAUAAAGUGAAAUUGCUUCAAAAGACAACACUGAUAGACGAGUCUUUUCCUUCCCUCUAAUCAACCUCAUUCCCUCGAAUAAAACUACACAUGCCUUAUGAGUAGCCUUUUAAGUAAAAAAGAAAAAGCAAACAUAGUCUGCGUCACUGGGCAGUGAACACUUUGAUGUAAUCACUGGGGAGUGAAGGUCAACCGUACAAAAAUGUAAAUUAUCUCAACUUUAUAAAGCUUAUUGUGCAAAACUUAACAGCAAGAAGUCCUUGACUGUUUGUUAUUUGGCACAGCCUGUAUUGUCUCACUCUAGUGGUUUUGUUUUCACUCGACAUGUGUUUAAAUUUGGGUCACUUUUAGCAGUAAAAUGAAAAGCUAAUAGAAGUGAUAACUGAUGCCAGCUUCACAGACACCAAACUUAUUUUGUUGCUUAUGUAUGGAAUAAAAAAAAUUAAAAAUGUACCAUUAUAGGAAAAUAAAACAAAUAGUACAAAUAGUGGCAAAGCAUGUUUAUAAUAAUCUGACUUCUUAAAAACUAUUUGCAUGAUAUACAUGAUAUAUAGCCAGAAGUUUGUUGACACCUGACCAUAACACACACAUGUGCUUCCAGAUUUAGUCUCCCUUUUGCUAUUAUAAUAACCUCCACUCCUCUGGGAAGAUUUUCCACUAGAUUUUGGAGUGUGGCUGUGGAGAUUUGGCCACUCAGCCACAAGAGUAUUAGUGCGGUCAGGCACUGGUGGGUGAGGAGGCCUGGGGUGCAUCCAGUGUUCCAAUUCAUCCCAAAGGUGUUCAGUGGGGUUGAGGUCAGGGUUCUGUGCAGAACACUCAAGUUCUUCCACUCCAACCUUAGCCAACUAUGUCUUCAUGGAGCUCGCUUUGUGCACAGGGUCAUUGUCAUGCUGGAACAUGCUUGGGCCUCUUAGUUCCAGUGAAGGAAAGUGUAAUUCUACAGCAUACAAAGACAUUCUAUUCAAUUGUUUGCUUCCAAUUUGUGCAACAGUUUGGGAAAGAACCACAUAUGGCUGGCUGUGAUGGUCAGGUGUCCACAAACGUUUGGUCAUAUAGUGUAUUUAAUUACUCAUAGUAAUAAAAGCACUGAAAUGAAACUCCUCUCUCUAACAAAUGACUUAAGGUUGUGAGUCAUGAGCAGUGUAAAUAACAAAGCCCGACCUGCAGGAAAACAAAAUAAACCUAUAGAAACCCAAAAGCCUUACAGGGUUCAGAAAUCAUAGCCACAUGUGCUGCAAUUUUACACACAAUGUAUUCGACAAAUAAAUUAGUUGCCUUUGUAGUUUUUGCCUGAUUUUCUCUCACUAUUGUGGGACUGACAAGUGUGUUUUCAUCAGAUAGAACAGCACAGAGAUGCGUUUUGACAUCAUGUCACGAAUCCCCCCUUUGUAUCAUGGUUCCCAUGGUGACAAGCACCAUGUGCUCAUGUUUGUUUUGGUUUCUGUUUUGGUCCUGUCUUCAAUCCAACCUCCCUAGAAACAGUGUGGCCUCUUUCCUCUCCAAGUAUUUCUCGCAUACAGUACUGUGCAAAAGUCUUAGGCACCCUCAUUUUUUUAGUACAAACUUUGUUAUAGAUUUUUAUUUUAUGACUUCUACAUUAUUGAUUCAGUACAAAAACAUUUUAGAUUUCCAAACAUUAGUUUUCCAGCACAAAAUUAAAUGUUACAGAAAAAUGUAUGUCAGUAAAGAAAGUAGCAUAUUACAUAAGAGACCGCCUUAAAAUAAGAAGCAAGUGCGACAGUCAAAGUCUCCAGAAGAACUGUGGCUGCUUCUGCAAGAUGCUCAGUAAAACUUACAGCUCAUUUCCUUAUAAAACUGCACACACUGUACCUGAGACUACUAUUUUUUUUUUUUAAAAGAGAAGGAUCGUCACACCAGGUAUUGACUUCAUUUCAUUUAUUACUGUUUACUGCUCUUUAUAGCGUUUUUAUUUAAUGUAGAAACAUUUAUUUUCAUUGUUUUUGAAGGCAUCUUUGCUCUACAGCAUUUCUUUGCAUGUGCCUAAGACUUUUGCACAGUACUGUAUGUCUGAGUUUUGCUGGCAGUUGCAUUUCAGAAAUGGGUAAAGAUUCCCAAAACAUUUAAUGGGCAGUGUAUGUACAUACAGGAAAUGUGUAAAAGUGAAUCGCAUGAGAGUGUAUUGGGAUGAAUUGUAUCCUGUCUCAGUCGUGUGCUACUUUGGAUAAAAUUGUCCGCCAAAUAUAUACAUGUAAAUGUGUGUAUGUGUGAGAUGGAUGAUGGAAAGUGUGUGGUGUGUGAGAACGGUGUUAGUACAUGGAAGUGAUAAUGAAGAGUGAUAACAGAGAGCCAUAUUGUACAAUGUUUGCUCCAGAAAUAGAGAAGUGUGCAUUAUGUACAAUAUAUUCAUUAAAUCAUUAAACCAUUAAAGUCAUAAGAGGUUAGUGUGUGAUUAAGGAAGUGUCUCAUUUUAAAGAAAACACCUUGUUACAGAAUAGAACUGAGCUGACUGCAUAUAGGACUUCAAAAUACAGCCCUUAUUAGCCGAAAUACAUCUCUGGAUCCUCUGCUGCAAUAUUUCAAAGCAGGUUUUUCGGUUUGACUGUCCACUUGCUGCUGCAUCAGCAAACACACAGAAGACAAUGGAAGAAGAGCAUAGCUCAUGUGUCUGGUCUCAAACAUGCAUAUGAUCAUGUCUCUCCCAUCUGCUCUUUCUCUCUAUGUUACACACAAUAAUGUUAAAAGUUUAUCAGCAAGUGUUCUGUUAACCUGUCAUGGUUCUGCAGUGGUGUGGCCUUGCCAAAAUGAAUUUCAAAUCAGUUGAAAAAGCGCUGCUUGGCUAGAGCGAGAGGUAUUAUCAAGGACACCUGCCAUCCCCACCAUGGACUGUUUGUGCAUCUCGCAUCAGAAGAACACUACAGAACUCUGCGUUGUCACACAAAAAGACUCAUGAACAGCUUUUUCCUUUCAGCUGUACUGGUGCUGAACUCAGCUUCCAAGCAUUAACUCCCAGGCUCCACCUAAUAACUAAGCAUUAGCAUUAGACACUACUGUUAUCUGCAACUAUUUGCAAGUACUUGCACUUUACUGCACUACCUGUAAUUAUUAUUAGUACUAUUACUUAUAUUAGACUAUUAUUUGCACAUUAUUGCUAUUUGCACAUCUGCAGUUUUUAACCAAUGUAUGUAGCCACUGCAUCAUAUUGCAUGCAUCAUGCUGCUUACCACUACAUGUAUACUGUUUAUCUCAACUAACUGCACCAUAAUUCUUAUUUAUUCCAUUUAACUUAAUUGCCAUUUGCAUUACUGGUAUGCAUCAUAUUGUUUACCUUUACCUGUACACUGUACACUGUAAACGUAUUGCACCAUAACCUUGUUACCUCAUUUUAACUUAUUUGCUAGUUGCACUACUGGCUGGAUGCUAACUGCAUUUCAUUGUCUCUGACUCGUACUCUGACAAUGACAAUAAAGUUGUCCUAACCUAACUAAAUGAAACCACAGACACCUAACCUAAAUAGAUGAAACCACAGACACACAUAAACCACAAAAGCACAUGACCACACCCAUACACACACACACACACACACACUGGAACGACCAAUUUACCACUGCUCUAUCUCAGCUCAAACUUUUUAUUAAACAUACACAUACAUAGGGAUGGGGAUGUGACAAAAAUAUCAUAUCACGAGUGUUGAAGGCA